UACGUAGGGGGCAAGCGUUGUCCGGAAUUAUUGGGCGUAAAGAGCGUGUAGGCGGCUCGAUAAGUCCGCUGUGAAAGUCCAGGGCUCAACCCUGGGAUGCCGGUGGAUACUGUCGGGCUCGAGUCCGGAAGAGGAGUGUGGAAUUCCUGGUGUAGCGGUGAAAUGCGCAGAUAUCAGGAGGAACACCAAUGGCGAAGGCAGCACUCUGGGACGUUACUGACGCUGAGACGCGAAAGCGUGGGGAGCAAACAGG
rnacentral:rRNA from 1 species